GCGCGCGGCAACCAAUAGGGAGCCCGGAACGCAGCCCCAGCGGCCGGCCGCGGAGAUAGACAAAGGCCCCGACACAGGGGGCGCAGGGCGUGUCCCCGGGCUCAGGGAGCCCGGGGGCCCAAGCUGGCGGGGACUCACCUGGGACCCGGAGCGACGCGGCAGGCGGGGUGAUGCUGAGCUGAUCGUGACAUCACAAAGGGGCCCGCCCGCCGCGCGUCACUGGCCGCCGAAGAGCUCUCUCCCCGGUUCAGGGGGGAGCACCAGCAAGUGAGGGGAAGUCGGUGAAGCUGACGUGAACUUCUGCAAAGAGUCGGACUUGGAGAGGAAUUGCUCUGGGCUGAAUAAACAUUGAGCUAGUACCGCUCUGUCCUGGAAAGUUUACACACCCUGUUGAAUCCACGGUUGCUACCGGAAUUGGACACAAGAGUGACAGGGACAGGGAUUAUAAAUCCCGAUUUAGGUAUGGAGAAAUUGAGGCUCACAAAUACCAUUAUUAGUGUAUGAAUUCAUGUCCACUAAUGCACUAAACACACACGUAAAAAAAAAAAUAGGCACUAUUGCCAC